CCUGUCUUCAAGAACCACAGCAAUCUGCCAAAAACAACAUUUAGGGGCAGCCUCCACAGUCCCUGCUGCUUCCUUAUCCUGGCUCUCAUCAGCAUCCCUUUUGACAAUGAGGCUUGCAGGAUUGAGAAGGACAUCACUUCAGCCACUUCAGGGUCUAUACUGGGAGUCCUUGACAGCACCUGGUCAAGUUCCUCAUAGAAGGGGCAUGUAUGACGAGCCCUCCUGGAGUGUCUGUUCAAGUCUUUGGCCUUCGUGUAUAGAAACUUCAAGUGCUUGACACAUUCCUAAAACCAGAACCUAAGACUGAGCUCCCUAUCCUGCAAGCAGGACCAGGAAACCCCUCACAAGUUAAAGUGACAGCCUAUGAUUCCAAUACCGUUUUCAGGUACACCACGGCUUUUGAAAGGCACUCCCAUUCAUGCCUCUGCUAUUUCUGUAGUACUCUUCAAGAGGACCUAGAAGGAGAAGUCCUGACUGGACUGGAGGAAGAUGUGUGAAUCAGCUUCUGAAAGAAGUUCCUUCAGAAAAUUGCAUCAUCACAGAACAUGAAUAUCCCAAGUCAAUGAUCAGGUUAUAGCUUAGUCCUUUGUGUACCAAAGGACUGGAAUGAGAAUGUAGUUAAUAAAUGACAUUCACAUGGGUGCAAGGGAAUCCUGUUAUAUUCAACAGUCACCUCUAAGUAAAUGAGGCAAUUAGUGAUGUAGGGAAAACAAAAUACAUGAUUACUGCAAGUAAAUUGAUGAGUCGCACAAAGAAAAGUAUUAAUUAUUGUGCUUCCAAUGAAUUAAGAAUAAUGAUACUUUGGAAGCAUUUACUGCAUGCAGACAGUGCCCAAGAAAAUUGUAUGGUGUAUUCCUUCUUGCCGGCUCCAGGUCUUUUAGCCCCAAAAGCACUUAGUACAUUUCUUAUUGCUUCUUUCUCUGCAGUGGCUAUUUUGUCACUUGAAUUCCAGAUAUGAGCAGGAGCAGUUCUUUUAGGAGUCACUACUAGCAAUCACCACUUUAUGAAAGUAUAGCCAGCAUGACAUACAGUGCUAUAGAGUAACUUAGGUGGCAUCCAUCCCCCAGGAAGCUAAGCUUAUGGUUUAUCUUUAAGGAACCCCCAAUGUUCAAUAACCGAAAUAGAAUGAUUGGGGCAUUUUCUUCACUUUCAUUUUCUUAAACUAUUGCAGUCAAUCUUCUGACCAUAUAAAGUCACACAGCAGAGGAUUUUGCUUUGUUUUUAAGCUUUACUUCUAACAUAACUCCUUUCCAUGGGAACUUUUUUUCAUUUAUCAAGAUCCACAAUUGCUAUAGUAUAAGACUGGAAUUCUGAAAAUGGUUUGAAUGGUGCAAAAUAAUAAUAUGUAGAGAAAAAGAAUUCUGUGAAUUUUAGUUAAUUAAAAGAGCUUGAAUCUAUGUAUAAUAAAUGUAUAUAGUCAUAUGAUUAUACUAUGUUAGUAUAGCAACAAGAUUGAUCUAAUUGUGGAGUGUUUUUUUUUCCUUUUGGCCUUACCCAGCCACCAGUCAUCUCUUUCAUUGUUCACUCAGUUCAUCCACAACACAGCAAAAGGGGUCAAAUAUAGUAUGGUUAGGAGAGCUUGGCAAGUAUAUUUUCAAAAUGGCCACUCCCCAAGAAGAAUCAAAGAGAUUUUCGUCUAAGUAAUACAGGCUACCCAAGGACAUCCAGUGAGGAUCUUCAUUCAAGGAAGAAAUGAUGUCUUGAGUCUAGACCAAAGAUAAGGGGCCACAAAAGGUUUUGUUCUAAUUAUAAGUUCAAAAAUGACCAGCACCUUGGUUACCUGAUCUGUCUACCUAACAGAAUUUAGAGCUUUUCAAAGUUAAAAUAGCAACUAGAGCCCAAAACAGGUUAGACAUUCAUCCUGACCCUGGAGAACAAUUAUUUUUUUUAGGUCUUCUGCAACUCCUUUUACACUGCAUAUGUAUUUUUCCACAGACCCAGUUUCCCAUACUUUAUUUCCCCGUCAGUUUGCAAAGUUGUAUUUUUAUCACUGAAAUAUAUACAACUUGGGAUGCAUGCCUGAACGCUUUAGCUUUUGGAUCUACAACAAAAUUCCAGCUCUUGUCACUUUCAAAAAUACUUGUUACUGUGAGCAGUUAUUUCUUUACAAUAUCUCACUGUUCAAUUAUCUAAAUAAAGUA